CUCAUAGUUAAUAUUCCUUUCUUGAACAAAGCGACAACAUUAUUGAUCAUUUGAGAUUAAUAUUACAAUAUUAAGCAACCCUCCUCACAACGGGAAGCUGCGCGCCACACAGAACAAUGUGGUGGUGCGUUACCGAUAGCUCGUACGAUGCACAUUUUCAUUCUCUUUAUACUGCCAGAGUAAAUGAAAGAGAAUCCCGCUCAAUACAACCGGAAGUAACUAUGUCAUAAGUACGUGACAGUCAUGAGAUUUUAGAUGAAGGCCAGCUUGUUCUUCCAUAUGUUUCAAGUCCUGUCAUGCUUCUAGUGUAUUUUUUGUCUCCCGGUACAUGCUUCGGAAGCUUAGUAGGUUCACAUAAAGAUUCUUCGUGAGGUGCAUCAUGUCAAUUGUGUUACGUACCUAUAAGAAUUCACAAUAUUGUACGUCCCAAAAUAUAGACUUCUUCCAGAUGGGUCUCUUUCCGUUUUCACUCGGAUUAAGUUGGCUACCAGGUCCCUUUCCAAAGACUACUUUGAGAUCCUUUAUCAUACCAAAUACGUGCUUACCAUUACAAUGCAUAGGCUUGCUAUGGUGGCCUGCCUUCCCUUUGAAAUGAUUGCCUUUAUAACUUUGUGGGAUGCUUGAUAGGAACAAAUCCACAAUGGCCCAUACACAACCUUCUUCCAGAUGGGUCUCAUUCCGUUUUCACUCAGAAUAGGUUGGCUACCAGGUCCCAUUGCAAAGACUACUUUGAGAUCCUUUAGCAUACAAAAUAUGUGCUUACCAUUACAGUGCAUAGGCUUACUACGGUGGUCUGCCUCCCCUUUGAAAUGAUUGCCUUUAGUUCUUUGCGGGAUGUUUGAUAGGAAGAAAUCCACGAUGGCCCAUACACAACUUUUCCACGGUUAUUCAAAUAUAUGUUGUCAUUAUCAUCUAAAUAGAGCUUGCAGGCCCUAGAUCCCUUGUGUUGUCUGUCAUGAAAGCAAGGUUUUUAAAGCGGUAAGGCGAGGCGAGGCGAUGGGGAACCGCUCAGUCGCCUAGGUGACGCCUAGGCGGGCUAAGGCAGGCUAAGGCGAGCUAUAAGCAAGGCGAUGGGGAACCGCCUUGUCGCCUAGGCGACGCCUUAAAAACAGGGCAUGAAAAGUUACUAAGAGUAGGCCAAUUAUUGAUUGUUACAAACAACAAUACUUGUAGAGUAAUAUUAUAUUUUUUUAA